AACGAACGCUGGCGGCGUGCCUAACACAUGCAAGUCGAACGAGAAAGGGGCUUCGGCUCCGAGUAAAGUGGCGCACGGGUGAGUAACACGUGGGUAACCUGCCUCUACGCUUGGGAUAACUCGUCGAAAGAUGAGCUGAUCCCGGAUAAGACCACAGUUCCCGCGGGGACAGGGGUCAAAGUGAGUCUCUGCUUGCAAGCUAUCACUCAGAGAUGGGCGUGCGAACCAUGAGCUAGUUGGUAGGGUAACGGCCUCACAAGGCAAUGAUGGUUAGCUGGUCUGAAAGGAUGAUCAGCCACACUGGAACUGAGACACGGUCCAGACUCCUACGGGAGGCAGCAGUGGGGAAUAUUGAGCAAUGGGCGAAAGCUUGACGCAGCAACGCCGCGUGAGUGAUGAAGGCCUUCGGGUCGUAAAGCUCUGUCGGGAGGAACGAAUGCUCCCAAGGUUAACAGCCUCGGGAGGUGACGGUACCUUCAAAGGAAGCACCGGCUAACUCUGUGCCAGCCGCCGCCGUAACAC
rnacentral:rRNA from 1 species